rnacentral:rRNA from 2 species
AUGCAAGUCGAACGAAGGCUCUAGCUUGCUAGAUGUCCUUAGUGGCGGACGGGUGAGUAACGCGUGGGAACCAACCUUGGAGCGGGGAAUAACUAUUGGAAACGAUAGCUAAUACCGCAUACGCCCUCAGGGGAAAGGCUUCGGCCACUCUAAGACGGUCCCGCGUCUGAUUAGCUAGUUGGUGAGGUAAUGGCUCACCAAGGCGACGAUCAGUAGCUGGUCUGAGAGGAUGACCAGCCACACUGGGACUGAGACACGGCCCAGACUCC